GCCGGCCGUCGCUCUCACCCGACCGACAGUCGACAGUCACUCUCACCGAGUGACGGGCCGACGUUCUUACUGACGCAGUGUUUGUUUUUGUGUCUGCCGGCGUCGUCGCCUGGCUCGUUACGUUAGCUGAGGCAGCGUUGCCAAUUUUCACACAAAAUGAACUGAACUGUUUUUUCUGCCUCCGCCACCGACAUUGUAUGGGUAUUCGUAGCUGUGUGUGUGUGUAGUUGUGUGCGUGUGCUUUAUUUCAGAAAUUUCCAUUUAAUUUUUUUAUUUAGGUUUCUUUUUUCCUCUCCAUUUUUGUUUUUUUUUUGCAACAUUUCUGAUACCCUUACAGAGGGAGGAUAUAUCAAAGUUUUGCAAGUCUUGACCAAAAAUAACUUGAGUGUGCAGUUGCAGAUACACAUCCAUAUGUAAGUAUGUAUUAGCAAAUGAAUGAUUAUCCCCUCUUCUCGUUUUUAAUAAUGCAAAUACAUACAUAUGUACAUACAAAUGUUUGCAAAUGAUCGCCAAGGGUAUCAAAUGCUUCGC
rnacentral:lncRNA from 1 species